rnacentral:rRNA from 1 species
UACGGAAGGCAGACAGUGGGGAAUAUUGCACAAUGGGCGAAAGCCUGAUGCAGCUAUGCCGCGUGUAUGAAGAAGGCCUUAGGGUUGUAAAGUACUUUCAUCGGGGAGGAAAAAACAAAACUAAUAAUUUUAUUCUUGACGUUACCCGAAAAAGAAGCACCGGCUAACUCCGUGCCAGCAGCCGCGGUAAUACGGAGGGUGCUAGCGUUAAUCAGAAUUACUGGGCGUAAAGAGCACGUAGGUGGUUUUUUUAAGUCAGAUGUGAAAUCCCUGGGCUUAACCUAGGAACUGCAUUUUGAAACUGAAAUACUAGAGUAUCGUAGAGGGAGGUAGAAUUCUAGGUGUAGCGGUGAAAUGCGUAGAUAUCUGGAGGAAUACCUGUGGCGAAAGCGGCCUCCUAAACGAAUACUGACACUGAGGUGCGAAAGCGUGGGGAGCAAACAGGGAUUAGAUACC